UAUGGAUAGUUCGGCGAGAUGAGUCUGGUGUGGCAAUGCUACACAAGAGUCCAGGUGUUGCAAUGCCACACGUGAACCCAUUUAAGAAAAAAAGAUAAAUGUUAAAGUAGACCCUCGCGGAGAGAAUAUUGAAAGCACACUAAUAUUAACUUUACCGAAGACUCACAAUGAAGUAACACAAGUUUAAAGGAAAAUUUAUUUGAUAUUUUUGACAUCGGACAAAGAGAAACCAUUUGUGUUCUCACAAACUCAUCACUUGUUCUGUGAAGUGCCCACAGUAGUCUUAUGGUAUCUAUAUCCGUACAGGGAGAAGGCCCAGAGAUCAAGGAACAGAUCCAUAUCGUCCUUCAGUAAAGGAAGGAGGGAAUGAGGGAAAACAGGAGUUGCUGCUGCCUUUACUGCUAUAUCAUCUGUAAGAUUUGGGGGAUUCGAACGUCUGCCUCCUGAGUACCACUUGGUUCGGAGCCCCACGCACGUAACACCUCCUUGCCUUGCUCUCAACUGCCUCAG